UUAAACUACUAGGGGUGCCCUUUGGCUGAGACUUACUCUUAGAACCUGAUCUAGUUAAUACUAGCGUAGGGAAGUAGUUAAUUAUCACU
rfam:Cetobacterium somerae ATCC BAA-474 genomic scaffold Scaffold202, whole genome shotgun sequence.